GACAAUCUUUUUUAAUAAUAUCGAUAUCCAACGAUUUUAAAGACACAUCUUUACUUUUUUCUUGAAAAGUGUGUGAAUACUUAAUCGUCUGAGAGAAAUAUUUUCUGAAUUAAUUCUAAUUAAGAAAAAGGAAUUUACUAUCCAACUUUUGUGACUAUGGACGCUGAAGUCGAAGGCAGCGUUGAAAAUAAUGUACAAUCUGGCGACGAAGCGGCUUCACCUUCAAUAGAUGGUGAAACAACAUAUAAAGGUGUUGCGACUGGGCCUCCUCAAGAAAACAAUGCAACCCCCAAUAUAAAUGGAAAUACGGGACAAGCAACGCCAGAACCAAGCGAAGGUGAAUCUCAAUGGACUCCAAACAAUCAAGGACCUCCCGCUGCUAAGCCUUUUAGUAUGCCGCCAUUCGGUGGACCACCAGGAGCCUUUCGUGGUGGACGUGGUGGUAUUCAUAUAAUGCCUUUUGGUCGCGGUGGUGCUCGAGGUGGUGGCGGCAAUUUUGGUGGACGCGGACCGGGAAAUUUUGAUCCAAAUUGGCAAGGACAAAAUCAAAAUGGCCCACCAAACAUGACAAACGGUCCACCACUCGAACUGUGGGUGGAGACAAAGACAGAUGAUGGCAAAUCUUAUUUUUAUCAUGCUAUGACUCGUGAAACAACAUGGACUAGACCAGAAGGGCAAAAUAUUAAAGUUAUGACUCAAGCGGAAAUUGAGGAAAUGAAUAAAAAACAGCAACCACCUCAGCAGCAAACGCAACAAAAUAACACACAGCAUACGGAUGCAAAUGCUAAAGGGCCAGAAUCUGUGGGUCACGCUCAAGGUGGCAUCAUGGACGCGCAAAAGGAGUUACCUCCCAUGUCUGUGGCACCACCCAUGAAAGCACCAGAUACUUUGACACAACAUCCACCACCAAAUAUGAUGUCACAACCACCGCCCACACAACAGACCUUAACGCAACCACCGCCAAAUGUAGUACCCAGCGGUGCGCCACCAAUGACACAACAGCCUCCACCCGCAAUGCACCAACAGCCGCCUCCAUUCUUUCCACCUGGUAUGCAUCCACCAAAUUUCUCGCAACCUCCUUUUGGUAUGCCUCCACCUGGUUAUGGUGGUUUUCCAGGUGGACCAGCGCCUUGGGGUAUGCCCUGGAAUCAGCAUAUGCAUCCUCCACAUGGUCCGCCGGCGCAAGACAAGCCAGCAAAGAAUUUAAUUAUCAAGCCUGGAGUAAUUGACCCUGCCGUAAUUGCACGCGCUGCUGAAUGGUCCGAACAUCGUGCACCUGAUGGACGUCCCUACUACUAUCAUGCCGGUCGUGGCGAAAGCGUUUGGGAGAAACCACAAGCCUUACGCGACAUGGAAGCGGCACGCAUGGCUGCUCAUUCGGGCACAACACCACAACAGGCAGUGGCGCCGCAGGUCGCACCCACCAUGCCACCACACAUGAUGCCCAAUCCUGCCCUUAUGCACAUGACGCCGGUAGCCGGCGGUUAUGAACAAGCGAUGGCUUAUAAUGCUGCUGCUGCCGCAGCCGCCGCCGCUGCUGCAGCUGCUGCUAAUAUUAAGCCCAUCGAACAAACCAAAGCGGCACAAGCUGCGGCAUUGGAAAAAGAGUCAAAGAAGGUGGCAGAGGAAAAACGAAAGAAAGAGGAAGAGCAACAAAAGAAAGUCACAGCAACGGCAGCAAAACCAAUAGAUAAAUCACGUCCUAUUUCCAGUACACCCAUCGCUGGCACACCAUGGUGUGUCGUUUGGACAGGUGACGCGAGGGUUUUUUUCUACAAUCCUUCCACACGCACAUCUGUUUGGGAAAGACCCGACGAUUUGAUAGACCGUGCUGACGUAGACAAAGCAGUCAACAAUCCGCCGGAACAGUUGAAGGCAGCUGGCAAUAUCGCUGUGGAAAAACCGGUCGAAAAGAUUGAGACAGAGAAGAAAAAAGAGGUUGACAUUCCCGAGGAAGAGGAAGAAGAAGAGCAAGAAGAUGAUGAAGUCAUCAAAAUACGCACUGAAUCUGAAUCCAGCGUGGAAGAAGUACCAACAAAGAAGUCACGAUUAUCCGCAAAGCAAACCAGAAAGGCGGAUGCCAACGAAGCAGCUGUAGAAGCCGAGGUACGCGCUGCUAAGGAGCGCGCUGUAGUGCCAUUGGAGACUCGUGUCAAACAGUUCAAGGAAAUGUUGCGGGAAAAAGAUGUAUCAGCAUUCAGUACUUGGGAGAAAGAGCUGCACAAAAUUGUUUUUGAUCCACGUUAUUUGCUGCUAACAUCCAAGGAGCGCAAACAGGUAUUUGAAAAGUAUGUUAAAGAUCGUGCUGAAGAGGAACGCAAGGAGAAGCGCAAUAAGAUGCGACAAAAGCGCGAAGAUUUUCGCAAGCUUAUGGAAGAUGCAAAGAUGCAUGGAAAGUCGUCAUUCAGUGACUUCUGUCAGCGUUAUGGCAAAGAUGACCGCUAUAAAGCUAUCGAAAAGGUGCGCGAACGUGAGAGCCUCUUCAACGAGUAUAUUGUAGAUGUGCGGCGUCAAGAAAAAGAGGAGAAAAUACAAAAAAAGGAACAGUUAAUUGCAACCAAUCAUGUGAUUAUAGGUGAGCCGCUUGAAGUGUGUUUAAAUCCAAUACAAUUUUGCUUAGCCGCGUAAAAGUUGGUUGACCUAGAAAAAAGCAAAAUUGCUAAAUACCGUUUUUAGGCUGCAGUAUAAACGUAAGGAAAACGCAGCAAAUUAAUAUGUUGUGCAGCGUAACGUGUGACUGAUUGAUGAUUCAUGGUCAUGGAGCUGCCAACGACCGCAUCAAAUUGCAUUGAUCCGCCAUGCCAUGCAGCCAUGUCCAUCCUGCUACUACCACCCAUCAACCCAGUGACUUGCCUGUUCGUUAGUACCUUCACGCCUGCUCGGCACGUUUUCCCCAAAUUGUUUGUGUCUAUCUAGCUCGAGCUCGUGAUCAACGUUGACUUCAUUAAACAAUCAGCAAACAAACGCAAUUUAUUGUAUAUCAACGAUAAAACUUGGUGAUUUACCCUUCUGCCACCAGGAACGUCGACACUUCGGCACGUCACAUGUACAUAUUGAAGCUAUUUGGCUGCGCACAGACAAACGGUGUAUAUUGAUGGAUGGAAAAUAACACAAUGGACACAAAGAAGACGUUACGGCAUUAGACAGAAGACAAGACAUGCCAAACUCCCAACAGCUGGCAGUUUAGUUAAUGUUGGCGCUCGAGUCUCCAGUCUCUGGUCUCUGAGUGUGGCAGAGCUUGAACUAGAGCGGGAGUGGAAAUUGAGCGAGAAGAGACAGAAACAGUAUGAAUAAAAACUCAAUCUAAACUUCAUACAUUUAGAAUUUUUGUUACAGCCGCAAGUGCAAUAAGCAUUUCAAAAUUCGAUAUUUCACAUUCGUCACGACAAUGGUGAAUACUUUGAAUCUACAUAUGUAUAUUUUUAAUAGAUUGUCUUUUUUUUUUGUUGUUUGCUAGUAAAUCAUCAUCUAUGGCACGUGCACUUACGCACGUGACACAUGUCAGCAUUUCGAAAAUGUCAAACGAAUGUGAAAUAUUGAUUUUUACUGUUGGGCUUUACUUGUAAGUUCAUAAAGUAAAGCAUUCAAUACAUUAUCUAUAUGUAUUCUUAUUAUAUAACACACGUACAUUUAAUUGUUGUCCGUCCGUCCGUCAAUGAAGUGCUCAUACACGUUGCCUCUCUAAUUUAUGCAAAUAAAUUUUCAAAUUUUCAGCUCUACACUGUUGGAUUCUCAUAAUUAAGUCAUCAAUAAAUUUCUCUUUCAGCAUUCGACGCCACUUAAUUAUAAUACUAAUCUUGAAACGUUCUCUUGCAGCAUAAUUAAGUAUAAUUAUUAUUUAAGUUAUUCUUGUAGACGAUUAAGUUAGUUAGUAAGCGUCAUCUAUAAGCCCCUGUUAUGUGCGUUUAAACGUAUCGAGUAAGCUAAAACGAAAGCCAAUAUCUGAAAUCGUCUAAUUCCCCACAUUUAUUUUCUCUCUUUGUAUCUUCCUUGACUGCACUUGCUACACACACCCAAAUGCACAUCCCCAAAACACACACUACGUACCUCUAACAAAUUUUAGAUACGCAAAGAUUUCAUAGAAAUGUUGCGCGAACGUUCGGAUAUGGACCGGCAUACACGUUGGCAUGACAUCAAGAAGAAAUUCGAUGCCGAUCCACGUUAUCGUGCUGUGGAGAGUUCUAUUUAUCGCGAAGAAUACUUUCAGGACUAUAUGCGUAUCAUGAAAGAAGAGAAGCGUAAGCAGCGUGAACUAAAAGAUCGUGAGCGGGAGCGUGAGCGUGAGAAGGAGCGCGAACGGGAGCGUGAACGUGAAAGGGAACGGGAUCGUGAACGUAAGUCAGACCGCAAACGUGGACGCAGCGAUCGUAGCCGCAGCCGCAGUCGAGAACGCGAACGUGAACGCAGUGACAAGGACAAAGGUAAAGAGCGUGAGAAGGACCGGGAGCGUGAGAAGGAUAAGGAGCGUGAGAAAGACAAAGAAAGGGAUAGAGAGCGAGAGCGAGAGAAGGAUAAAGAUAAGGAGAAGAAUGGCGAACAGAAAAAGAAGCACGAUGAAUCGGAUGAGGAGGGCGAGCAUCAUGACGACGACGAGGGUCACACCAAUAGCGAGGAUGAUGAAGCGGAGCGUCUACAAAAGGAGCGUGAAAAACAAUUGCGUGCCGAGCAAAGUAUACGCGAACGUGAAAAAGAGGUUCAACGCACAUUGGCCGGACAUUUGCGCGAUCGUGAUAAGGAGCGAGAGCACCACAAACGCGAUGAAGCCAUUGGUCAUUUCAAUGCGUUGCUAACAGACUUGGUACGCAAUCCAGAUCUGACAUGGAAGGAGGUGAAACGGCAACUACGUAAGGAUAGCCGCUGGGAACUAAUUGAGUCACUGGAUCGAGAUGAUCGUGAAAAACUUUUCAACGAACACAUCGAUACACUAAUGAAGAGAAAACGUGAAAAGUUCCGUGAAAUGCUCGAUGAAUUGUCAGCGCUGGAGCUGACCAGUUCUUGGAAGGAUAUUAAGAAAUCCAUUAAAGAUGAUCCACGUUAUCUGAAAUAUAACAAUUCCGAUAAAUGUGAACGCGAAUUUCGUGAUUAUAUUAAAGACAAAACUCUCGCCGCCAAGACUGCGUUGCGUGAGCUUUUACAGGAGUGUAAGCUAAUAACACACAAGAGCAGCGAAGUUGUUAAAGACAACCCAAAUCAUUUGAAGGAAAUACAGGAUAUACUGAAGAACGACAAACGCUAUCUAAUCUUGAACCACAUGGAAGAGGAGCGCACCACUAUAAUUGUUAAUUAUUUAGAAGAGUUGCAUAAACGUGGUCCGCCGCCGCCGCCAACUGCUUCUGAAUCAACUAGACGCAAUAAGUAAUUUAUCAUCCCACAUUCUAAGAAAAAACACCAAUAACUUGUGGCAAGAUAACAUUUUUAUGCGAUGUUAUGGUCACCGGAAUGCAUAAUAAAAAAAUUGCAUUAAUUAGCAACUAAUUUUUAUCAACUAAUCGAUUCAGUUUAACUUAUCCUUUAUAUAUGUAUUAAUCCUGUAGUUUCAGUGAUAAAAUUGUGAAAUAAACACGAAUACAAUUAA